rnacentral:ncRNA from 1 species
UGAAUGACAAUGAAGAGAAGAGUAAAUGGGGAAUCUGUCCAAAGAGAGCCGGGAAAGGUGCAAGCCGGUGGCAGAAAAAACAUUGAAGAUGGCCUCGGAGUCAGUUGCGGUGAAGCAUUGAGCCGUGACCGCUUGACGCGAUAAAACUAAAAGUCGAUUGAACUUAUCAAGGCAUUAUUUGUGAGAAUAAUGCGAACUAAGGUGGUAACGCGAAACCUUCGCCCUUAAC